UGUAUUCCUCCAUCGUAUGCUGACCUUGGCAUAGCUGUCAGAGAUACUUUCCACAAAGGAUUUGGUUCAGGGUUGGUGAAACUGGAUGUGAAAAAAAAAAAGUCACGCAGUGGCAUGGAAUUCUCAACAUCUGGUUCAUCUCAUACAGACACUGGUAAAAUUACUGGGACGUUGGAGACCAAAUAUAAAUGGUGUGAUUAUGAUCUGACUUUCACAGAAAAGUAGAACACUCUGGGAACAGAACACUCUGGGAACAGAAAUCACAGUUAAAGACCAGGUUUUUCAAGGUUUGAAACUGACAUUAGAUACUACCUUCUCACCAAACACAGGAGAGAAAAGUGAUAAGAUCAAGUCCUGUUACAAGGAGAAUAUAUACACUUUGGUUGUGAUGUUGACUUUUAUUUUUCAGGACUUCAAAUCCAUGGUUUGGCUGUCUUUGGUGAUGAGGCUGGCUUGCUGGGUACCAGAUGACCUUUGACAGUGUCAAAUCAAAGCUGACAAGGAAUAACUUCUCGCUGGGCUAUACAGGACUGGAGACUUUCAACUACACAUUAAUGUCAAUGAUGGGACAGAAUAUGGAGAAUCAAUUUAUCAGAAAGUAUGUGAAAAUCUUGACACUUCAGUGCAUUGUACUUGGACAUCAGGUACCAACUGCACUCAUUUUCGCAUUGUAGCUAAAUAUCGGUUGGAUCCCACUGCUUCUAUUUCUGCAAAAGUCAACAACUCUAGUUAACUGGAGUGAGCUACACUCAGAUACUGAGCCGAACAAAUACUGUCGACUCUGGUAGAUAGAAAGAGCACUAAUGCGGGAGGCCACAAACUUGGGCUUGCCUGGAGUUGGGAGCUUAGUCCAGCUGAAAGAAACCUUCAGGAUAUCAGAAGAUUUGACCGUAGUAUAUUUUCAAAGUGACCAGCAGGGCUCCCCACCACCCAACAAAAAAAGGUGAUCAAAACUAAG
rnacentral:lncRNA from 1 species